AGAUAUGGGGACCACCGGAACGGGAAAUGAUCUGAGCCGCGGCAUUAAUCCGCUAAGCCUGAUUGCUAUUACCGCGGUGUGAUUAUGCAGCUUGAUUACCGAGCUCACCCCAAGGACCAUGGCGCGCCUGCUUCUACGCGUUCUCUAGUUGUCGUUUGAUCUUCAUGUCAACCCUAUGCAUUACGGAGCUGACGGCUGGGGUCUGAUUGACACAAUGAGUUGUCAUCGCCGUCGUGCAGGGCCUACCCCUGUGAAAACACAGCUCUCCGCGGGGGGUCGCCAGCUUUCGGACAGGACUACUUAACGGCCUUCAUAUAAUUAUUAACAAACCACCGUGUGGCUACAGCUCCAUAAAUG
rnacentral:lncRNA from 1 species